rnacentral:rRNA from 1 species
GACGAACGCUGGCGGCGUGCCUAAUACAUGCAAGUAGAACGCCGAAGGAGGAGCUUGCUCUUCUGGAUGAGUUGCGAACGGGUGAGUAACGCGUAGGUAACCUGCCUGGUAGCGGGGGAUAACUAUUGGAAACGAUAGCUAAUACCGCAUAACAGUAGAUGUUGCAUGACAUUUACUUAAAAGGUGCAAUUGCAUCACUACCAGAUGGACCUGCGUUGUAUUAGCUAGUUGGUGGGGUGACGGCUCACCAAGGCGACGAUACAUAGCCGACCUGAGAGGGUGAUCGGCCGCACUGGGACUGAGACACGGCCCAGACUCCUACGGGAGGCGGCAGUAGGGAAUCUUCGGCAAUGGACGGAAGUCUGACCGAGCAACGCCGCGUGAGUGAAGAAGGUUUUCGGAUCGUAAAGCUCUGUUGUAAGAGAAGAACGAGUGUGAGAGUGGAAAGUUCACACUGUGACGGUAUCUUACCAGAAAGGGACGGCUAACUACGUG